GGUGUAUUUACCCAUUGCCUGUACCCCCAUUAUAUCUAGAAAGUAACUAACUUGUUUUUUGUUUCACUGGCUAAUAGGUGGAAGAGAUUUGCCUUUUCUCAGCUCCGAUGUCUUGGUUUCAUCACAACUCUCCUGCUAUCACCGUCCAAGGCCUAUCUUCUUUCAUCUUGAAGAGAUUGCUGUUGCUAUGCUCUGUUCUGCACCUCAGAUUGAACUUCAGCUAUCCCAUAUCAUAUUCCAUGAGGUCACAACUUCUAGGUGAUACAUAAGGAAUGUGUUGAUAGCUAAUGUCACAUUGGGAUAAGGGCAGAAAAAUAAAUCACUGAAGUGUUUGAUAAAGAUCACCUUUUAAAGGAGAUUUUUCCCCUUCACUUCAGCAAGAUCAUUUAUUUAGGAUCGGUGUAUUUUCUUCUCAAGGUUUCCAGAAAACCAGUCUCAGUCACCUUACCCCCGGUUUUUUCAGUAUGUUGUAGACUGAACAUCAUGAUCGUCUUCCUUAUGCUCAGCUGAAUCCUCUACUGGCUUUGUUUAAGUCAAUUUCUUCAGUUGUUCCUCUGAAAAGAAUGCAAUAAAUAGCAGCUUUCUGAAGCAUGAAAAAGAAAGUCUUUAUUUGUGAAAAUUGACAAAAUUACACAAAUUCCCUUAGAAGAAAAAAUGUGGGUCAUAAGCACAGGAAUGAAUGCCACCGAAUAGAAGAAUACCAAGUUUUAAUAGGUAAACUAGAUUUUAGUACACAGAUGUCUUUUCUUACACAAAACCAGACAAUUGCAGGUUUGAGCAGCUUAUUGUAUAGUCAUUGCUGCCUCUUCAAUAACUCAUUUUGAUAUUUUGUAAUUUGCCAAAAUGUGCCUUUGUGAUCCCACAGGCUCUUAACUACUUUGUAAUGAGUGUGUAUGAACAGAUGGAAAAUGUUUUCAAUUUCAGAGAAAACCACUAAUGGAUGUUACCAGCUAUUAGAAAAGCUCAGGUGGCUCCGUUUUCCAAGGAAAGGUAUUGUCAUAAAACUCUUCAUUUUUCAAUGAAAUGUUUGCUCAUUUAUAUCUAGAUGGUAAUUUAAGACUUCAAAGUCUUAACAGAUUAGAACGAUAGUUGGAAAUUAUUCAGUGCUAAAUAGCCUGGAAAUCCAAUCUCAAGAAUCUCACCUGAAAACGGUAAUGCCAAUUCAGGUCAUUUUAUUAGAACAACAUGAACUACUAUAAAAACAAUUUCCCUAAAGAAGUAGAUAAAGCAAUUUAACUAAAAAGUUAAAUGUAUGCUUGAGAUUUGGUGAUGAUACCUUUCCUAAAGAAGAAAGAAGUAUGUCUUCUGUCCUCAAUUUGCAUUCCAAACAAAUGCAUCUUCUCAAAGAAAAACACAUCAAAAGAAUGAUUACAACAGAGGUUGUUUCCAAAACAUAGUAUAUCUUACAUUCAAAGAUAUUUACUAAUUC
rnacentral:lncRNA from 10 species